rnacentral:rRNA from 1 species
GACUCUCGGCAAUGGAUAUCUCGGCUCUUGCGUCGAUGAAGAACGUAGCGAAAUGCGAUACUUGGUGUGAAUUGCAGAAUCCCGUGAACCAUCGAGUCUUUGAACGCAAGUUGCGCCCGAAGCCACUAGGCCGAGGGCACGCCUGCCUGGGUGUC